CGUGCAGGCGGUUCUGUAAGUCGGACGUGAAAGCUCCUGGCUUAACUGGGAGAGGCCGUUCGAUACUGCGGGACUUGAGGUCGGGAGAGGGACGUGGAACUCCCGGUGUAGUGGUGGAAUGCGUAGAUAUCGGGAGGAACACCAGUGGCGAAGGCGGCGUCCUGGCCCGCACCUGACGCUAAGACGCGAAAGCGUGGGUAGCGAACG
rnacentral:rRNA from 1 species